GUCUUCAGCCAUGCUAUCCUGAACAAGCACAAAGCAGUCUGAUCUCGGAAGCUAAGCAGGGUCGGGCCUGGUUAGUACUUGGAUGGGAGACCACCUAGGAAGACCAGGUGCUGUAGGCG
rnacentral:rRNA from 1 species